UACGUAGGGUGCGAGCGUUGUCCGGAAUUAUUGGGCGUAAAGAGCUCGUAGGCGGUCAGUCGCGUCUGCUGUGAAAACUCGAGGCUCAACCUCGGGCUUGCAGUGGUACGGGCUGACUAGAGUGCGGUAGGGGUGACUGGAAUCCUGGUGUAGCGGUGGAAUGCGCAGAUAUCAGGAGGAACACCGAUGGCGAAGGCAGGUCACUGGGCCGCAACUGACGCUGAGAGCGAAGACA
rnacentral:rRNA from 1 species